rnacentral:pre_miRNA from 1 species
AUAACAUUUGGGCCGUCGGUCUACCGAGCAAGUUCAGCCGCUUCGUCGAAGUUCUUCCCUUUGUCAA